rnacentral:rRNA from 1 species
UACGUAGGGUGCGAGCGUUGAUCGGAAUUACUGGGCGUAAAGUGUGCGCAGGCGGUCGUGCAAGUCGCGUGUGAAAGCCCCCGGCUCAACUGGGGAGGGUCACGCGAUACUGCUCGACUCGAAGGCAGGAGAGGGAAGUGGAAUUCCCGGUGUAGUGGUGAAAUGCGUAGAUAUCGGGAGGAACACCAGUGGCGAAGGCGACUUCCUGGCCUGUUCUUGACGCUGAGGCGCGAAAGCUAGGGUAGCAAACGGG